rnacentral:rRNA from 1 species
UGGGGAAUUUUGGACAAUGGGCGAAAGCCUGAUCCAGCAAUGCCGCGUGCAGGAAGAAGGCCUUCGGGUUGUAAACUGCUUUUGUACGGAACGAAAAGGCCUGCCCUAAUACGGCGGGCCCAUGACGGUACCGUAAGAAUAAGCACCGGCUAACUACGUGCCAGCAGCCGCGGUAAUACGUAGGGUGCGAGCGUUAAUCGGAAUUACUGGGCGUAAAGCGUGCGCAGGCGGUGAUGUAAGACAGUUGUGAAAUCCCCGGGCUCAACCUGGGAAUUGCAUCUGUGACUGCAUCGCUAGAGUACGGUAGAGGGGGAUGGAAUUCCGCGUGUAGCAGUGAAAUGCGUAGAUAUGCGGAGGAACACCGAUGGCGAAGGCAAUCCCCUGGACCUGUACUGACGCUCAUGCACGAAAGCGUGGGGAGCAAACAG